rnacentral:lncRNA from 1 species
GCGGCUGCGGCGCGACAACGGCGCCCUCCGGAGGAGGCUGCAGGAACUGCAGGUGAGACACACCUGGGAUACACCGGGGUUACACCGGGGUUACACCUGGCGCUGGCUGACAACGAGCGGCUGCGGCGCGACAACGGCGCCCUCCGGAGGAGACUGCAGGAACUGCAGGUGAGACACACCUGGGAUACACCUGGGAUACACCUGGGAUACACCUGGGAUACACCUGGGUUACACCUGGGACAGGUGAGACAGGGACAGGGACAACGGCGCCCUCCGGAGGAGACUGCAGGAACUGCAGGUGAGACACACCUGGGACAGGUGAGAGACACCUGGGAUACACCUGGGAUAGGUGAGAUAACUGAGACAGGGACAGGGACAACGGCGCCCUGCGGUGGAGACUGCAGGAACUGCAGGUGAGACAGGUGAGAUACACCUGGGUUACACCUGAGAUACACCUGGGAUACACCUGGGACAGGUGAGACACACCUGACAUACCUGAGAGACAAGUGAGAUACACCUGAGAUAAGUGAGAUACACCUGGGAUACACCUGAGAUAGGUGAGAUACACCUGGGUUACACCUGGGAUACACCUGG